UUGACCUCGGAUCAGGUAGGGAUACCCGCUGAACUUAAGCGAGGAAAAGAAACCAACAGGGAUUGCCUCAGUAACGGCGAGUGAAGCGGCAAAAGCUCAAAUUUUAAAGCUGGCAUCUUCGGUGUCCGCGUUGUAAUUUUGUGAGGCAUCUCCGGGUAGGGCGCCGGCCUAAGUUCCUUGGAACAGGACGUCACAGAGGGUGAGAAUCCCGUGCUUGGCCGGCUGUCCCCGUCCAUGUGAGGUGUCUUCGACGAGUCGAGUUGUUUGGGAAUGCAGCUCAAAAUGGGUGGUAAAUUUCAUCUAAAGCUAAAUAUUGGUGGGAGACCGAUAGCGCACAAGUAGAGUGAUCGAAAGAUGAAAAGCACUUUGAAAAUAGAGUUAAAAAGUACGUGAAAUUGUUGAAAGGGAAGCGCUUGAGACCAGACUUCGGUAGGGGGUGAUCAGCCGUCCUUCUGGGCGGUGCACUUGCCCCCCUCCGGGCCAGCAUCGGUUGAGGCGGCGGGAUAAAGGUCCCGGGAAUGUGACUCCUCUCAAGGGAGUGUUUAUAGCCCGGGUGAAUGCCGCCAGCCCCGACCGAGGACCGCGCCCGC
rnacentral:rRNA from 1 species